CUGACCUUAGCUCAGUUGGUAGAGCGGAGGACUGUAGUUGGUUUCAACAGUUGAUCCUUAAGUUGCUUGUUCGAAUCCGGCAGGUCGGA
rnacentral:tRNA from 1 species